UACGUAGGGUGCGAGCGUUGUCCGGAAUUAUUGGGCGUAAAGAGCUCGUAGGCGGCUUGUCGCGUCGGAUGUGAAAGCCCGGGGCUUAACUCCGGGUCUGCAUUCGAUACGGGCAGGCUAGAGUUCGGUAGGGGAGAUCGGAAUUCCUGGUGUAGCGGUGAAAUGCGCAGAUAUCAGGAAGAACACCCGUGGCGAAGGCGGCUCUCUGGUACGUGACUGACGCUGAGACGCGAAAGCGUGGGGAGCGAACAGG
rnacentral:rRNA from 1 species